rnacentral:rRNA from 1 species
AGAACGAACGCUGGCGGCACGCCUAACACAUGCAAGUCGAGCGCCCAGCAAUGGGAGCGGCGGACGGGUGAGGAACACGUGGGAACAUGCCUUUCGGUUCGGCACAACUGCGGGAAACUGCAGCUAAUUCCGGAUACGCCCUUACGGGGAAAGAUUUAUCGCCGAAAGAUUGGCCCGCGUCUGAUUAGCUAGUUGGUGAGGUAAUGGCUCACCAAGGCUUCGAUCAGUAGCUGGUUUGAGAGGACGACCAGCCACACUGGGACUGAGACACGGCCCAGACUCCUACGGGAGGCAGCAGUGGGGAAUCUUGGACAAUGGAGGAAACUCUGAUCCAGCGAUGCCGCGUGAGUGAUGAAGGCCUUCGGGUUGUAAAACUCUUUUACCAGGGAAGAUAAUGACUGUACCUGGAGAAUAAGCCCGGCUAACUUCGCGCCAGCAGCCGC